GACGAACGCUGGCGGCGUGCUUAACACAUGCAAGUCGAACGGAAAGGCCCUGCUUUUGUGGGGUGCUCGAGUGGCGAACGGGUGAGUAACACGUGAGUAACCUGCCCUUGACUUUGGGAUAACUUCAGGAAACUGGGGCUAAUACCGGAUAGGAGCUCCUGCUGCAUGGUGGGGGUUGGAAAGUUUCGGCGGUUGGGGAUGGACUCGCGGCUUAUCAGCUUGUUGGUGGGGUAGUGGCUUACCAAGGCUUUGACGGGUAGCCGGCCUGAGAGGGUGACCGGCCUCAUUGGGACUUAGAUCCGGCCCAGACUCCUACGGGAGGCAGCAGUGGGGAAUAUUGCACAAUGGGCGGAAGCCUGAUGCAGCAACGCCGCGUGCGGGAUGACGGCCUUCGGGUUGUAAACCGCUUUCGCCUGUGACGAAGCGUGAGUGACGGUAAUGGGUAAAGAAGCACCGGCUAACUACGUG
rnacentral:rRNA from 1 species